CGUCAGGUAGCUCAGUGGUUUUAAAGCAAUCGCCCGGCAAGUGAAAGAGGACCCCCGGGUUCGAUUCCCGGUCUAGCGA
rfam:Harpegnathos saltator strain R22 G/1 HarSal_1.0_1.contig8129, whole genome shotgun sequence.